AGCGGCAGGCCUAAUACAUGCAAGUCGAGGGGCAGCACGGGUAGCAAUACCUGGUGGCGACCGGCGCAAGGGUGCGUAACGCGUGAGCAACAUGCCCUAUACAGGGGGAUAAUCCAGGGAAACUUGGUCUAAUAUCCCAUAGUAUUUAGAGGAGGCAUCUUCUAUAAAUUAAAGCUUCGGUGGUAUAGGAUUGGCUCGCGUGACAUUAGCUAGAUGGUGAGGUAACGGCUCACCAUGGCAAUGAUGUCUAGGGGUUCUGAGAGGAAGGCCCCCCACACUGGGACUGAGACACGGCCCAGACUCCUACGGGAGGCAGCAGUGAGGAAUAUUGGACAAUGGAUGGAAAUCUGAUCCAGCCAUGCCGCGUGCAGGAAGACAGCCCUAUGGGUUGUAAACUGCUUUUAUAUGGGAGCAAUAAGGUCUACGUGUAGACUGAUGAGAGUACCAUAUGAAUAAGCAUCGGCUAACUCCGUG
rnacentral:rRNA from 1 species